GUGGGGAUAGGUCAGUUUGUAGAGG
rnacentral:tRNA from 1 species